GACGAACGCUGGCGGCGUGCUUAACACAUGCAAGUCGAACGCUGAAGCUUGGUGCUUGCACUGGGUGGAUGAGUGGCGAACGGGUGAGUAAUACGUGAGUAACCUGCCCUUGACUCUGGGAUAAGCCUGGGAAACUGGGUCUAAUACUGGAUACGACAUGUCACCGCAUGGUGGUGUGUGGAAAGGGUUUUACUGGUUUUGGAUGGGCUCACGGCCUAUCAGCUUGUUGGUGGGGUAAUGGCUCACCAAGGCGACGACGGGUAGCCGGCCUGAGAGGGUGACCGGCCACACUGGGACUGAGACACGGCCCAGACUCCUACGGGAGGCAGCAGUGGGGAAUAUUGCACAAGGGGCGGAAGCCUGAUGCAGCGACGCCGCGUGAGGGAUGACGGCCUUCGGGUUGUAAACCUCUUUCAGCACGGAAGAAGCGAAAGUGACGGUACGUGCAGAAGAAGCGCCGGCUAACUACGUG
rnacentral:rRNA from 1 species